GAUGAACGCUGGCGGCGUGCCUAAUACAUGCAAGUCGAGCGAACAGACGAGGAGCUUGCUCCUCUGACGUUAGCGGCGGACGGGUGAGUAACACGUGGAUAACCUACCUAUAAGACUGGGAUAACUUCGGGAAACCGGAGCUAAUACCGGAUAAUAUAUUGAACCGCAUGGUUCAAUAGUGAAAGACGGUUGUUCUGUCACUUAUAGAUGGAUCCGCGCCGCAUUAGCUAGUUGGUAAGGUAACGGCUUACCAAGGCAACGAUGCGUAGCCGACCUGAGAGGGUGCUCGCCCACGCUGGACCGGAGAGACGGUCAAGACUCCUAGGGGAGGCACCAGUAGGGAAUCCCCCCGAAUGGGAGCAAGCCUGAAGAAGCGACGCCGCGUGAGUGACGAAGGUCUUCGGGUCGUAAAACUCUGUUAUUAGUGAAGAACAAAUGUGUAAGUAACUAUGCACGUCUUGACGGUACCCAUCAGAAAGCCACGGCUCACUACGUG
rnacentral:rRNA from 1 species